GACAAACAGAUCGAGCUAAGUUAUAGUUGGUAUAAAAGGAAGUUAGAGGUAAUUAAAAUAUAAAUAGAAAAGUAAAUUUUGUUUUAGAGGUGGAAUUCGUAAAGAAAAGGGUUGUUUAAAAAUUUUCUUGUACUUGAUACUUCGAAAGUUAUCACAGAGACCGGGAUUAGAUACCCCGUUAUUUUCAUUGUAAAUUUUGGUUUCCUACCUGAGUAUUACGAGUUGAGUCUUGAAUAAUAGCGGUAAGCUAUUGAUAAGAUUUCUUUUGCUUAAAACUCAAAAAACUUGGCGGUGUUUUAUUUCUUUCCAGGGGAACCUGUCCUGUAAUCGAUAGUCCACGAUUUAACUUACUUUUCUUCGAAGUUUAUUUAUUAGUAAUUUAUCAGUUUGUAUACCGUCGUCGUCAGAUAACCUUUAAGAGAAAAGCAGUUGUCAGUGGAGUAAUGUUUAAGUUUCUGCGAAAUAAAAUUUGCUGAGGAAACUAUUCUUGCUCUGAUGUCAGAUCAAGGUGCAGCUUAUGGAAAAUGGAGAGAUGGGUUACAUUAUAUAGUCAAUUUGGAUUUUGAGGUGUAACACUUAAAUAAAAUUGGACUUGGAAGUAAUGUUUGUAUUAUAUAUGGAAUUAGUUAGUGAAUGUGAAUGUUGUACUAGAACGCGC
rnacentral:rRNA from 1 species